rnacentral:lncRNA from 1 species
UUUCAAGUCACUUAACUGCAUCCUAGAAUGAACUCAAGUAUAUUUAUAGGAAUACAAUAAUGUACAGCCCUCAACAAGAGAAAUUUCACGAAGCUUGGCACACAUUCAAGAAUAACGAGGCAUGCAAAGAAGUAGGACAAAUGCAACCAUAAUACAGAGAAAAGCCAAUCAAACAGACCCAGUAAUGACACUGAUGAUGGAGUUAGUAGACAAGGCCAUUAAAACAGUCAUUAUAACUGCGUUCCAUAUGUUUGAGAAACUUGAACGUGAUAAGUAGAGACAUGGAAGAUAAUUUUGUUGCCUGGGCUUACCCUUCAGACUCUGCUUCUUGAACAGUGUCAGUGGCUGUAAUCUCAGUUCAGAUCUUUCAUCUUUAACUGAGCUGCUUUGAGUCUUCUGCAUAGGUGUGGUUUGAGAGUCGGUCAGACUGGGUACACAGAAUGGCCCCCACCACCGCAAUUCUCUUCAGUGUUCAUAGUAGUCCAGCUGUGUGCACUAUAUGGAGCCACAGAGAUGGGACCUUUCCUGGGCAACUUCUCAUCUCCCCUGUCCAGGUACACUGGAACCAACUGGAAGAGCACUAAAUUGUCAAAGCUGGAACAUUUUGAGCAACAAAAUAAAUAAAGUAGUAUAGAGUGAUAGCCUAAUGUGUAAA